CUUGACGAUCAUAGAGCGUUGGAACCACCUGAUCCCUUCCCGAACUCAGAAGUGAAACGACGCAUCGCCGAUGGUA
rnacentral:rRNA from 1 species